CUGAAAACUCAGUUUACAACAAGACCCAGCCACCUUUCCGGAGAGGCUCAAUCUCCCCCCAGAUCGCAGAGCCUGAGGCUUCAAGCACUGGAGAAACUAGCUCAUUAGCAAAUGAGCUGGGUCCUGGAUGCUGAGGCCCCUUGCCUGCAGCUGGAGGCAGCUCGGGGCGCAGUGGCAGCGCUGAGAGUGACACCGUAGACAUCGUUGCUAGCUGAACGCUCUCACUUCCACUAUUUGCAUGCAGGCGAGAGAACUCUUUGCAAACCGCUGCAGAAAGACAGAGAAGCCCAAGGGAUAAGCUGCAAAGUUUGGAAGCAACCUCUGCAAGCGACUCGGAUGCAAUGUACCCCAGCUGGGAAAUCGACUGAUAACUCACCACAUUUUCUCAAGGCCUGCGAGUAUGAGGUCUGUGAGGAGUGCCUUGGAGCACAGAAACUCUGCUUUACCUAAAUGUAAGUCAUAGCCUUUAAUCACAAUGGGUAGAUUCACACUAAAGCAAUUAACCAUAUGAUUGCUUUCACAGGAACCCAAACUCAUCAGUGUCUUUCCUUCAGGCAAACUGACAAGGCUGGAUAUCGUCAGUGACUCAAAUGGAUUUGAUUUACCUAAGAGGUGGGAUGAGAGUGGUCAACAGCAGUUCUCAAAACCUCUCAGAUUAAGUCUGACAAUGUGGAGAAGUCUUGGUGGUUAUGUGGUCUGAUGAGCCUCGAUGGAGUUGUAUGCCUUCCUGGAAUGCCAAUGUACAUAUUACUAUGAAAAACUUGUUGAAGUUCAUGAAAUUGACUCCCUCAAGAUUUGGAAUCCCGCAGUUAAUUUUAUCACCUUCAAUAAAAGCAAGUACACCCCUGGAA